rnacentral:rRNA from 1 species
CUAAACCUAUGGACGUGGAUAACCUCGGGAAACUGAGAAUAAACCGCGAUGGAUCAUGAUGCCUGGAAUGGCUUAUGGUCGAAAUAGUUUACUGCCAUAGGAUGCGACUGCGGCCUAUCAGUUAGUUGGUGAGGUAAUGGCCCACCAAGACUAUUACAGGUACGGGCUCUGAGAGGAGAAGCCCGGAGAUGGGUACUGAGACACGAAUCCAGGCCCUACGGGGCGCAGCAGGCGCGAAAACUUUACACUGCGCGAAAGCGCGAUAAGGGGACCCUGAGUGCGUGCGCAAUGCGUACGCUUUUCAGAUGCCUAAAAAGCAUUUGGAAUAAGGGCCGGGCAAGACCGGUGCCAGCCGCCGCGGUAACACCGGCGGCUCGAGUGGUGGCCGCUAUUAUUGGGCUUAAAGGGUCCGUAGCCGGACCGGUUAGUCCAUUGGGAAAUCUUAUAGCUCAACUAUAAGGCUGCCAAUGGAUACUGCUGGGUCUUGGGACCGGGGAGAGGCAAGAGGUACCUCAGGGGUAGGAGUGAAAUCCUGUAAUCCUUGGAGGGACCGCCAG